rnacentral:rRNA from 1 species
UAAUCACUUUAUCAUUACUUUGAAUAAAAUAGAGUGUUUAAAGCAAAACAUUAAGUUAAUGAAUAUUCAAGCAUGGGACAAUGCUGAGGGGAGGUCUUCGGACAAUUCGAGAGAAGGAUUAAAAGGAACAAUUGGGGUGAUUCAGAAAAUAACGGGAGAGGUGAAAUUCCAUGAUCGCUAUAAGAUGCACGAGAGCGAAAGCAUUUCACUCAACUGGGUCCAUUAAUCAAGAACGAAAGUUAGGGGAUCGAAGACGAUCAGAUACCGUCGUAGUCCUAACUAUAAACGAUGUCAACCAAGGAUUGGAUGAAAUAAAGAAAUUCGCGGAUGAAGAAACAUUGUUUCGGAAACCAAGAGUUUCACAACUACCUUGUUCAGAACUUAAAGAGAAAUCUCGAGUUUAUGGACUUCAGGGGGAGUAUGGUCACAAGGCUGAAACUUAAAGGAAUUGACGGAAGGGCACACCAGGAGUGGAGCCUGCGGCUUAAUUUGACUCAACACGGGAAAACUUACCAAGACCGAACAGUAGAAGGAAUGACAGAUUAAGAGUUCUUUCAUGAUUUAUUGGGUAGUGGUGCAUGGCCGUUCUUAGUUGGUGGAGUGAUUUGUCAGGUUAAUUCCGGUAACGAACGAGACUGAAACCUAUUAAUUAGUUUCCUGCCUAUACGACAGGAAUCUCCGCAAGGUCAGGUGCCUCGGUACCACUUCUUAAAGGGACACAUUUCAAUUGUCU